UACGUAGGGUGCGAGCGUUGUCCGGAAUUACUGGGCGUAAAGGGUUUGUAGGUGGUCUGCUAAGUCAGACGUGAAAUCCCUCAGCUUAACUGGGGAACUGCGUCUGAUACUGGCGGACUUGAGGACAGGAGAGGAACGCGGAAUUCCAGGUGUAGCGGUGAAAUGCGUAGAUAUCUGGAGGAACACCGGUGGCGAAGGCGGCGUUCUGGACUGUUUCUGACACUGAAAAACGAAAGCCAGGGGAGCAAACGGG
rnacentral:rRNA from 1 species